CAUCCGGUGGGCAAAAAGCCCAGACUGCUGGACACUGUGACCCCAGCAAGUACUACAUCCUAGUAGGGACAGUAGCAGCCUCAGCUUUGCUUCUGCUUGGGGCAGUGUCUGUGUAUCUAGUCUUGCAUCAGCUGCUGAAGAGAGAGAGGAGGAGCCAGGAGGACAAAGAGGCAAGAGGACAGGACUGGGACUCUUCCUGGGAAAGCUGUGGUCAGCCUAGAGGUGAAGCAGAGUCAGGAGAAGGAGCGGCAAGCGGCGAGAGAGCCCAAGGCAAGGGCUUCAGGGACAGCUGCCGCCUGUUUCCUGAGCUCUUUGCAGCAGAGCUCGCCCAGCGCUACAAGAACAUGGGCGCAGACCCGUCACCUCUGCCCACCUGCUCCUUCUGUGCUCUGGCUGACAACGCCUCUUCACGGGACCACUGGAUUUCCCUGGAGUCACCUCAGCCCACAGCAUCCUCUUGCCCCUCCUACCAAUACCAGCAGGACUAUUAUCUGUUAGAGGAGGAUGAUUAGUGAUAGUGAGAGAUGAUUAGUGAUAGUGAUAGUGAUAGUGAUAAAUAGUGAUAGUGCUAGUGAUUCUUUUAGGGAUAGUGGUAGGGAUACCUGAUAUUAGAGGGUGGUGGUUGUUUUAAUGAUAGUGUUAGUUAAUAUUAGAGGAUAGUGAUUGUUUUAAGGAUAGCGUUACUUGAUAUUAGAGGAGGGUAAUUGUAUUAGUGAUAGUGAUAGUGAUACAUAGUGAUAGUGGUAGUGAUAAAUAGUGAUAGUGGUAGUGAUUCUUUUAGGGAUAGUGGUAGGGAUACUUGAUAUUAGAGGGUGGUGGUUGUUUUAAUGAUAGUGAUAGUUAAUAGUAUAGUGAUUGUUUUAAUGAUAGCGUUAUUUGAUAUUGGAGGACAGCGAUUGUAUUAGCGAUAGUGAUAGUUAAUAUUAGAGGAUGGUGAUUGUUUUAGUGAUAGUGGUACAUAUAGUGAUCGUGAUACUUGGUAUUAGCAGAUAAUGAUUGUUUUCUUGAUAUUGAUAAAUAAAUAUGUUUCCAAAAGCAGUAAA